GACGAACGCUGGCGGCGUGCCUAAUACAUGCCAGUUGAGCGAUGAAGAUUGGUGCUUGCACCAAUUUGAAGAGCAGCGAACGGGUGAGUAACGCGUGGGGAAUCUGCCUUUGAGCGGGGGACAACAUUUGGAAACGAAUGCUAAUACCGCAUAACAACUUUAAACAUAAGUUUUAAGUUUGAAAGAUGCAAUUGCAUCACUCAAAGAUGAUCCCGCGUUGUAUUAGCUAGUUGGUGAGGUAAAGGCUCACCAAGGCGAUGAUACAUAGCCGACCUGAGAGGGUGAUCGGCCACAUUGGGACUGAGACACGGCCCAAACUCCUACGGGAGGCAGCAGUAGGGAAUCUUCGGCAAUGGACGAAAGUCUGACCGAGCAACGCCGCGUGAGUGAAGAAGGGUUUCGGAUCGUAAAACUCUGUUGGUAGAGAAGAACGUUGGUGAGAGUGGAAAGCUCAUCAAGUGACGGUAACUACCCAGAAAGGGACGGCUAACUACGUG
rnacentral:rRNA from 1 species